rnacentral:rRNA from 1 species
GACAGAGGGUGCAAACGUUGUUCGGAAUUACUGGGCGUAAAGCGAGUGUAGGCGGUUUGGAUAGUCGGAUGUGAAAGCCCCGGGCUCAACCCGGGAAGUGCAUUCGAUACUCCCAAGCUAGAGUAUCGGAGAGGUUGGUGGAAUUCUCGGUGUAGAGGUGAAAUUCGUAGAUAUCGAGAGGAACACCGGUGGCGAAGGCGGCCAACUGGACGAAUACUGACGCUGAGACUCUAAAGCGUGGGGAGCAAACAGG